GAUGAACGCUGGCGGCGUGCCUAAUACAUGCCAAGUAGAACGCUGAAGCUUGGUGCUUGCACCNNGCGGAUGAGUUGCGAACGGGUGAGUAACGCGUAGGUAACCUGCCUGGUAGCGGGGGAUAACUAUUGGAAACGAUAGCUAAUACCGCAUGACAACAGUUAUUGCAUGAUAGCUGUUUAAAAGGGGCAAUUGCUCCACUACCAGAUGGACCUGCGUUGUAUUAGCUAGUUGGUGAGGUAACGGCUCACCAAGGCGACGAUACAUAGCCGACCUGAGAGGGUGAUCGGCCACACUGGGACUGAGACACGGCCCAGACUCCUACGGGAGGCAGCAGUAGGGAAUCUUCGGCAAUGGACGGAAGUCUGACCGAGCAACGCCGCGUGAGUGAAGAAGGUUUUCGGAUCGUAAAGCUCUGUUGUAAGAGAAGAACGAGUGUGAGAGUGGAAAGUUCACACUGUGACGGUAUCUUACCAGAAAGGGACGGCUAACUACGUGCCAGCAGCCGCGGUAAUACGUAGGUCCCGAGCGUUGUCCGGAUUUAUUGGGCGUAAAGCGAGCGCAGGCGGUUAGAUAAGUCUGAAGUUAAAGGCUGUGGCUUAACCAUAGUACGCUUUGGAAACUGUUUAACUUGAGUGCAAGAGGGGAGAGUGGAAUUCCAUGUGUAGCGGUGAAAUGCGUAGAUAUAUGGAGGAACACCGGUGGCGAAAGCGGCUCUCUGGCUUGUAACUGACGCUGAGGCUCGAAAGCGUGGGGAGCAAACAGG
rnacentral:rRNA from 1 species